AGGCAGCCCCUAUGCCCCAUUACAAUGGCAAUGGAGGUGUUGCGUUGCUCGGAGAGUAAACCUUCUGCUCUUCAGAUUAGCUGAGGGGGAGCUCUGCUUCCCUCCUUGAAGCUUGUCUAGUAGUCUUAAGAACAUC
rnacentral:snoRNA from 1 species